ACCGCACGAAUGGAAAUGUGCGUCCAAGCAGUGAGUGUGAGAAGUAGGCAAAUCCGCUUCUCGCGAAGCAUGAGCUGUGAUGGGGAAGGAAAUUAAGUACGGAAGUUCCUGAUUUCACGCUGUCAAGAAAAGCCUCUAGGAAGAGUAGUACUGCCCGUACCGCAAACCGACACAGGUAGAUGAGGAGAGAAUCCUAAGGUGAGCGAGAGAACUCUCGUUAAGGAACUCGGCAAAAUGACCCCGUAACUUCGGGAGAAGGGGUGCUCUAUUAGGGUGCAAGCCCGAGAGAGCCGCAGUGAAUAGGCCCAGGCGACUGUUUAGCAAAAACACAGGUCUCUGCAAAACCGUAAGGUGACGUAUAGGGGCUGACGCCUGCCCGGUGCUGGAAGGUUAAGAGGAGUGCUUAGCUUCGGCGAAGGUACGAAUUGAAGCCCCAGUAAACGGCGGCCGUAACUAUAACGGUCCUAAGGUAGCGAAAUUCCUUGUCGGGUAAGUUCCGACCCGCACGAAAGGCGCAACGAUCUGGGCACUGUCUCAACGAGAGACUCGGUGAAAUUAUAGUACCUGUGAAGAUGCAGGUUACCCGCGACAGGACGGAAAGACCCCGUGGAGCUUUACUGCAACCUGAUAUGGAAUGUUUGUACCGCUUGUACAGGAUAGGUAGGAGCCGAAGAGACGUGUGCGCUAGCAUACGAGGAGGCAAUGGUGGGAUACUACCCUGGCUGUAUGACCAUUCUAACCCGCCACGCUUAGCGCGUGGGGAGACAGUGUCAGGUGGGCAGUUUGACUGGGGCGGUCGCCUCCUAAAGAGUAACGGAGGCGCCCAAAGGUUCCCUCAGAAUGGAUGGAAAUCAUUCGCAGAGUGUAAAGGCACAAGGGAGCUUGACUGCGAGACUGACAAGUCGAGCAGGGACGAAAGUCGGGCUUAGUGAUCCGGUGGU
rnacentral:rRNA from 1 species